UACAGAGGGGGCCAGCGUUAUUCGGAAUUAUUGGGCGUAAAGGGCGCGUAGGCGGCUUUGCGUGUCUUUCGUGAAAUCCCUCGGCUCAACUGAGGACGUGCGGAAGAAACUGCAGGGCUGGAGUCCGGAGAGGAGGGUGGAAUUCCCGAGUGUGAGCGGUGAAAUGCGUAGAUAUUGGGAGGAACACCGGUGGCGAAGGCGGCCCUCUGGACCGGUACUGACGCUGAUGCGCGAAAGCGU
rnacentral:rRNA from 1 species